rnacentral:rRNA from 1 species
CUCCUACGGGAGGCAGCAGUGGGGAAUUUCCGUCAAUGGGCGAAAGCCUGACGGAGCAAGACCGCGUGGGGAGGAAGGACGUCUUGGUUGGUAACCCUUUACCUUCUGGAGAAAGUUAGUGAAAGACAACCUAGACGGUACCGACGAGGAAUACAGCAUCGGCUAACUCCGUGCCAGCAGCCGCGGUAAGACGGAGGAUGCAAGCGUUAUCCGGUCGACGCGGCCG